rnacentral:sRNA from 1 species
AUUUGGUAGGGGAGGAUGUGGUAAUUUCGGCUUAUUAUUCUUCCGUGGCGUACGCCACCCCCUAUUAUCAAGGAUGGCGUACGCUACCGCACUAGUUAAUUCGUAUAAGAAGAGCUGCAAAGCUUAGAAGCUUUGAACAGCUCAAGCAACCUUUGAACUACAUCACAGUGGAGUGUGAAGUGAAAGAAUAUUAAGAGAUAUGUAUAAGAAUUGUUAGAAACUAUAUAAACACAGAGCAUAAAGUGAGAGAAUCAUUGAGAGCUAUAUGAAAGAAUCAUUAGAGACUACAUAAGCACAGAACACAGAGUGAAAAAAUAUUAGAAGCUAUAUGAAAGAAUUGUUAGAAACUAUACA